CCCACGGCGAAUGGUUCAUCAAGUCUUCAAAAAAGAAUAUAUACGAUUGCAUUGCAUAUACUAACGGAUGCGAUCAUACCAGCACUAAUGCACCGGAUCCCAUCAGAACUCCGCAGUCAAGCGUGCUUGGGCGAGAGUAGUACUAGGAUGGGUGACCUCCCGGGAAGUCCUCGUGUUGCAUCCCUCUUUUAUGUUUAACCUUUUUUUUUUUGGUU
rnacentral:rRNA from 1 species